GAGGUUAUGCCUCUCCUAUCCCUCCAUACCCUCUCCUCCCCCUCCCAUUUAGCAGGCAAUUUUCGCUAAAUUUCCUGCUAAAUUUAGCAAGAAUUUCCCCGCUAAAUUUAGCGGUUUAAGUUUCCUCUCUAAAUCUUGUGGGGAAAUUCAUGUCACACAACCUCAACACCAAUUCAGUUUCCCCGCUAUAUUUAGCAGGGAAACUGAAUUGGUGUUGAGGAAACAACCCUGCUAAAUGGCACAUGACUUCAUGCCACGUCACUCACAAACAAAUUCAGUUCCUCAGCUAGAUUUAGCAGAAAAAUUGACAUUGCGUGACCUCAACACAAAUUCAAUUUCUCACUAAAUUCAGCAAGGUGAUCAUGCAGACGGCGACACAAUGAAGCGUGGAAAUGGGCACCUAAGAGCUGCACUCUAAACCAGUUUUUCUCUGUUGCCGGUGCACAAGCAGGUAAUGUGCAUCCAACGUUCCACUGGAUCUGUCCGAAGGGCAGGCUGAUACUGCGGCAGACGCCACUGAGCGGACACACUGCAAAAAGGCGUCGGCCGUUUUCCGAAGUUUGUCAACUGACCUAGAUCUGAGAACGUUGGUACAUGUAUUGCUACCGUUGCCAAGCAGGACUGGAGAUUGUUAGAGUGUGAACAAUGUUCACACUUUGGUCAAUGCAAGCACAUCUUUUUUUUUUUAGUAAUAUUGACUAACAAGAUUGCAGCAAUCAAACAAGUUAACACCGAAAUGUUAAAAGCAAUAAAGAAAUUAAAGCCCG